rnacentral:rRNA from 1 species
CAGUCGCCGCGGUAAUACGUAGGGUGCGAGCGUUAAUCGGAAUUACUGGGCGUAAAGCGGGCGCAGACGGUUACUUAAGCAGGAUGUGAAAUCCCCGGGCUCAACCUGGGAACUGCGUUCUGAACUGGGUGACUAGAGUGUGUCAGAGGGAGGUAGAAUUCCACGUUUAGCAGUGAAAUGCGUAGAGAUGUGGAGGAAUACCGAUGGCGAAGGCAGCCUCCUGGGAUAACACUGACGUUCAUGCCCGAAAGCGUGGGUAGCAAACAGGAUUAGAUACCCCAGUAGUCCCUGUCUCUUAUAC